rnacentral:tRNA from 1 species
AUCUAAAUAGUUUAUUAUAGAAUAUUAAUUUGUGGUGUUAAAGGUGUGAAUAUUUUCUUUAGAUC